GAGUGCUUGGGAUUGAAGGUCUGACAAAA
rnacentral:piRNA from 1 species